UACGUAGGGUGCGAGCGUUAUUCGGAAUUACUGGGCGUAAAGCGUGCGCAGGCGGUUUUGUAAGUCAGAGGUGAAAUCCCCGGGCUCAACCUGGGAACUGCUUUUGUGACUGCAAGGCUUGAGUGCGGCAGAGGGGGAUGGAAUUCCGCGUGUAGCAGUGAAAUGCGUAGAUAUGCGGAGGAACACCGAUGGCGAAGGCAAUCCCCUGGGCCUGCACUGACGCUCAUGCACGAAAGCGUGGGGAGCAAACAGG
rnacentral:rRNA from 1 species